rnacentral:rRNA from 1 species
CCCGCUGCUGAACACAUAGGCAGUGUGGAGGGAACGCGGGGAAGUGAAACAUCUCAGUACCCGCAGGAAGAGAAAACAACCGUGAUUCCGGGAGUAGUGGCGAGCGAAACCGGAUGAGGCCAAACCUCAAGCGUGUGAGACCCGGCAGGGGUUGCGCUUGGGGGGUUGUGGGAUCUCUCUUUCACAGUCUGCCGGCUGUGAGACGAGUCAGAAACCGUUGAUGUAGACGAAGGACAUGCGAAAGGUCCGGCGUAGAGGGUAAGACCCCCGUAGUCGAAACGUCAGCGGCUCGUUUGAGAGACACCCAAGUAGCACGGGGCCCGAGAAAUCCCGUGUGAAUCUGGCGGGACCACCCGUUAAGCCUAAAUAUUCCCUGGUGACCGAUAGCGGAUAGUACCGUGAGGGAAUGGUGAAAAGUACCGCGGGAGCGGAGUGAAAUAGUACCUGAAACCGUGUGCCUACAAGCCGUGGGAGCGUCGGAUAUGUGCUUGCACAUAUCUCGUGACUGCGUGCCUUUUGAAGAAUGAGCCUGCGAGUUUGCGGUGUGUUGCGAGGUUAACCCGUGUGGGGAAGCCGUAGCGAAAGCGAGUCCGAAUAGGGCGAUUCAGUAGCGCGCUCAAGACCCGAAGCGGAGUGAUCUAGCCAUGGGCAGGUUGAAGCGGAGGUAAGACUUCGUGGAGGACCGAACCCACCAGGGUUGAAAACCUGGGGGAUGACCUGUGGUUAGGGGUGAAAGGCCAAUCAAACUCCGUGAUAGCUGGUUCUCCCCGAAAUGCAUUUAGGUGCAGCGUCGUGUGUUUCUUGCCGGAGGUAGAGCACUGGAUAGGCGAUGGGCCCUACCGGGUUACUGACCUUAGCCAAACUCCGAAUGCCGGUAAGUGAGAGCACGGCAGUGAGACUGUGGGGGAUAAGCUCCAUGGUCGAGAGGGAAACAGCCCAGAGCAUCGACUAAGGCCCCUAAGCGUACGCUAAGUGGGAAAGGAUGUGGAGUCGCAGAGACAACCAGGAGGUUGGCUUAGAAGCAGCCACCCUUGAAAGAGUGCGUAAUAGCUCACUGGUCUAGUGAUUCCGCGCCGACAAUGUAGCGGGGCUCAAGCGUACCGCCGAAGUCGUGUCAUU